rnacentral:rRNA from 1 species
CAAGUCGAGCGAAUGGAUUAAGAGCUUGCUCUUAUGAAGUUAGCGGCGGACGGGUGAGUAACACGUGGGUAACCUACCCAUAAGACUGGGAUAACUCCGGGAAACCGGGGCUAAUACCGGAUAAUAUUUUGAACUGCAUAGUUCGAAAUUGAAAGGCGGCUUCGGCUGUCACUUAUGGAUGGACCCGCGUCGCAUUAGCUAGUUGGUGAGGUAACGGCUCACCAAGGCGACGAUGCGUAGCCGACCUGAGAGGGUGAUCGGCCACACUGGGACUGAGACACGGCCCAGACUCCUACGGGAGGCAGCAGUAGGGAAUCUUCCGCAAUGGACGAAAGUCUGACGGAGCAACGCCGCGUGAGUGAUGAAGGCUUUCGGGUCGUAAAACUCUGUUGUUAGGGAAGAACAAGUGCUAGUUGAAUAAGCUGGCACCUUGACGGUACCUAACCAGAAAGCCACGGCUAACUACGUGCCAGCAGCCGCGGUAAUACGUAGGUGGCAAGCGUUAUCCGGAAUUAUUGGGCGUAAAGCGCGCGCAGGUGGUUUCUUAAGUCUGAUGUGAAAGCCCACGGCUCAACCGUGGAGGGUCAUUGGAAACUGGGAGACUUGAGUGC